UCCUGGUUAACCCAGGCAGUCUCAAUAGAGUUCCCACCUUCACGUGUUGGCAACUAUUGAUAAGGGUUGCGCUCGUUGCGGGACUUAACCCAACACCUCACGGCACGAGCUGACGACAGCCAUGCAGCACCUGUGCAGCGGCCCUUGCGGGAAGUCUCAUUUCUGAUACCGUCCACUGCAUGUCAAGUCUGGGUAAGGUUCUUCGCGUUGCAUCGAAUUAAACCACAUGCUCCACUGCUUGUGCGGGUCCCCGUCAAUUCUUUUGAGUUUCACCCUUGCGAGUGUACUCCCCAGGCGGUAUACUUAACGCGUUAGCUCCGGCACAACUAGGGUUGAGUCCAGUUACACCAAGUAUACAUCGUUUACGGCAAGGACUAC
rnacentral:misc_RNA from 1 species